UAGCAGUUCUAGGAGUUCAUCCGUUCCAGCCUCCCAAAAUCUUAGUUCUGUAGAUGAACCUCAUCCGAUCUUUGUACCAGACACCAUCCCCAGCUCUUUGACUUCGGAGGAACUCUCACUGAUUAGGAUUCAGUACGGGGUUCCUUCAGAGUACGAGCUGGAGCUUCUAGGGUCGACUGGCCGGGCUAGCGCUCCUCCCCCCGAUUGCUCCUAUUUUUACC
rnacentral:lncRNA from 1 species